UGCAAUGCGUGAUCUCGCCUCACUGCAACCUCUGUCUCCCAGGUUCAAGUGAUUCUCCUGCCUCGGCCUCCUUUUUCUAGGGAAGGAGGAAGGAAUGGAGAGAGAACAGAGACCUUAGAAGCAAAAAGGCAGAAAGCUGAGGCAUUAGAGCACAUGUUGUGUGGCCUCAAUCUUUUCAAUAAUGUAUGAGGCACAAUCUCCCGGAGAGAUCAAGGGUCUGAAAGGUCUGGACAAGACUUGCAACAGCUGCAUUAGAAAUGUGGUGGGCUAGGAAUCUGCUAUAGGUCAGGAAAAGGAUUGCUGAAUAAACUCUACUGAGCAUGGGCUGCACACUCAGAUGCCCACGGGGAACAGGCAGGCAUCUCAUGAAUCAGGUUGUCUGGGGAGUGGGAGGAAGCAAGCCCGUUGAUCAAAGGCAUCUGAUUCUCAGUUUGGGGUCCAGGAAGACACUCUCUGUUGUUGCAGAGAAGUCGCAAAAUGGAGUGUAUGCCCCAUGUCAGAGAAGCCACUGCCUCUCAGCUCCAGCCAGUGGUCCUUCCAGAAUGGAAUUCUGCAGGAAACCAGAAGUGUGAACCAAACACAGUAACUCUAGGUGUUAUGGCGCUGUCCUGCUCACCCUUCUUUUGGCCUACUGGCUUCAAAGUGCUCAGCAAAUUCCUUGAUUUGAAAUUACGAUCACAGGUUGGAGUGCUACUUAAAAUAAUUUUGCCAAAUGUUCCAUCUCUCUGUGUUGAUGAAUAUAAUGGAUGACAAUUUAAAGAGCAAAAAAAAAAUCUCUGCAUUUAAUGAGGAAGUGCUGUCAGCAGAAAGGAGAGGAAGCUUCACCCCGACCAUCCGCAGGACCCGCAUCCCUCUCAGCAGGAAGGCAAAAUCAUUCAUCUGUUGCUUUCCUUGAAGGGCAGCUCCAGACACUCACAUGGACACAAGUAGGAAAAGCACAGAGUGUGUCAUCACACUGUGUACCUCAUACAGGUGACGUUCUGGAGAAACCUCUGGAAAGAGAAAACAGAAAUUUUAUGACCCACAAUUAAAAUGAUUUAAGUAAUAAAUAACCCUGAUAGCUUGCCCCACCAAGUGUAUGCUACGUUCCACACCCCAGGCCCCUUCACAUCCAUCUCCUCGCCGAGCCGUCUAACAACCUUACAAGGGAGAGACUUUUUACCCUCACUUCCCAGAGGAGGACACUGAGGCCAAAGAAGGGAAGGGAUUCCCCAGGUGACACCGUAAGUGACAGAGUCGAGACCCACAUGGCCUGGCUGAAGUCAAGGUCACUCUAAUUCCUCACACAGCCCCACCAGAGGUUCCCACAGUGCUGUGUGCCAGCCGGGUGAUAAGGCCUUUCCACAAAGGACAUCAAAAUACCUCAUCAGGCUGGACACGGUGGCUCACGUCUGUAAUUCCAACACUUUGGGAGGCCGAGGCAGGCGGAUCACCUGAGGUCAGGAGUUCAAGGCCAGCCUGGCCAACAUGGCGAAACCCGGUCUCUACUAAAAAUACAAAAAAAUUAGCCAGGCAUGCUGGUGGAUGCCUGUAAUCCCAGCUACUCGGGAGGCUGAAGCAGGAGAAUCGCUCGAACCCGGGAGGCAGAGGUUGCAGUGAGCCAAGAUCGUGCCAUUACACUCCAGCCUGGGUGACAGAACGAGACUCCAUCUCAAAAAAAAAAAAAAAAAACCUCAUCAUCAGUAGAGAACUGUCACCUUCCUAAACGAGGAAACUGACACUUUUAAAAGCAAACAGAUUUCUGAACUUGGGGUUAAUGAUAAAACUGGAAAAACGUAAAAGACUCCCUGUUCCUCUCCUCCAUUAUCAAUAUGUGCCUUAGAUUUGGAUGCCAAGUCAAAUCUCACCAGAACUAUAUCCUCCAUGGUAACUUAUUAAAGAGUCAAUCAAAGUUUGCUUUAAGAGAAAAGUAAAUACACCCAACUUUCCAUACAAUGCCGGACCCUGAGUUCACUUCCUGGUUUCACUGUUGACUCAGGUUGCAAUCCUAGAUAAGUAACUACACAUGCUCACUGCCCUGGGCCCAAAGCUGGGGCGAGAGCCUGGAGUCAGCGCACCCCCAAGAAUUCCGGAACAUGGGAAGGUGCCCAUCUUUCAUGGAGGGGGCAUGCCUCGAAGAGGAAAAUCAGGCAAAAGGCCGUGUGCAAAGCUCCACGUGCAGGUGCAAGCUGCUUGUCCCUGAGUCUCUGAUUGCGAGGAAAGGGGUCACCCGUUGGUCGCACCACCAACAAAGCCCUGCCAUCCUUUGGCUCUGCGCUCACCCAUAAUUACUGGGCGUGAGGUGGGAAGGGCCGCCCUUUGGGACUCAGGUGGUGGGGAGGCUACAGAACAGAGUCGGCAAGUCAACUCCAAUCACAGUGAGCAUUUUCAAAGAAACAAAUAAAAAUAGCCAGAAGUGGGUCAGCACUUACAGUGAGGUUAGAGACAAGAAAUUGGGACAGACUCCCGGUCCUGUGUAGAGAGAUAAAAGUUUUAUUUCAUAAGUACAAACUCAUACUCUUUCCAAUCUGAUUCCUCGUUUCUUUUCUUUUGCUUUUUCAUCUCCUCUGUCUUUUGGAUACACAGGAAACACACACACACAGCUAACAAAAACAGUGUGAUGUUGGAAUCUUGCUCCUUCAGUUCUAAGGUCCUCUUUUUCCUGAAGCUGAAGAAAAAAGAUACUUAAAGAAAACUUGAGAGUCAGGCAGGAAGGGGAGAUGGGAUACACACUUUCCCUAUCUUUCAGGUUUCUGCAAUCUCAGCGCAUGCUGCUUAAGAGAAAAAGAGCAGCAAAGCAGAAGAAAAGCACUGCAUCCUUAAGUGAUUUACCUGUUCCCAAGCAGGCCUGCCUCACACCUGCCUCCCCCCAGUUCCCUGUCAUUGACCCUCCCGCCACCAUAUCUGUGGCAUCUGGUGUGCUGCACACACAGUAUAUGUGUGCAAGUGCAUGGUAUAUACACAUAGCACACAUGCAUACAUGCUAUAAACACAUGCCCAUAUAUAGGCUCAGUGCACAGGUACGCACAGUGCUCAGGUACACAGAGUGCACACACCUGCUAGCCACAUACACUCUCAGUGUACACACAUGGUGCUCAUGCACACAUGGUAGUGCAUGGUGAAUCCACAUAGCAUCCAUGCACACACACAAUACCCACACACACACGCGGUACAUACACAUGGCACCCCUGCACAUACACAGUAGACAUGCAUAACCCAGAAAGUGGUUCUUGCUCUCUCUGCAACCUUAAGACUUUGGCAGUUUUUGUUAACUCCCACACCUGGCAGGAUUACAUUUCCUUGUGGCCUCAAUGACGUGAUAGGGCAGAUUUAUUGGGCUUACAGAAAAAAAGAGAGAGGAGAGAGAGCGAGCAAGCGAACAGUAAACUCUGCUGUGCAGUCAACCUGGACCUUGGUUUUAAGUUGCAGAUUAUCAGGGCCAAGAGAGAAGAUUUGGCAACAUGGGGUGGUUUGGUGAGAGUCAGCAUGUUUCACUGGUAAUCUGCUGGAGCACUAAAAUAUAUACAUCCAAAGGUUACCUUCUUUCAAUUCACUGAAAAAUAAAAGGAGCUUCAAGGCUGGACCAAAUAACACACAUAAAUAACUCAUGCAUGCCUGCAUGCAUAGAUGCAAACAUACAUACCUAAGAUGUGUAGCAAACAAAACAGGCACAGUGCUUUCAGGAGAAACUUGGGUGUGGAAGUAAGUUCUACCUUUUUGCUCUAUUUUCCUCCUGGAGGGAGAGAGGAAAAGCAGCUGCCUAAAUGCACAGUCAGCCCACAA
rnacentral:lncRNA from 1 species